GACGAACGCUGGCGGCGUGCUUAACACAUGCAAGUCGAACGGAAAGGCCCUGCUUUUGUGGGGUGCUCGAGUGGCGAACGGGUGAGUAACACGUGAGUAACCUGCCCUUGACUUUGGGAUAACUUCAGGAAACUGGGGCUAAUACCGGAUAGGAGCUCCUGCUGCAUGGUGGGGGUUGGAAAGUUUCGGCGGUUGGGGAUGGACUCGCGGCUUAUCAGCUUGUUGGUGGGGUAGUGGCUUACCAAGGCUUUGACGGGUAGCCGGCCUGAGAGGGUGACCGGCCACAUUGGGACUGAGAUACGGCCAAGACUCCUACGGGGGGCAGCAGUGGGGAAUAUUGCACAAUGGGCGGAAGCCUGAUGCAGCAACGCCGCGUGCGGGAUGACGGCCUUCGGGUUGUAAACCGCUUUCGCCUGUGACGAAGCGUGAGUGACGGUAAUGGGUAAAGAAGCACCGGCUAACUACGUG
rnacentral:rRNA from 1 species